rnacentral:misc_RNA from 1 species
AAAAACCUUGAGCUUUAAUUCCUUCCUCUCUUGCCAGCCCACUUUCCUUUCAAUACCUUUCAUCUUCACAAUACCAUUGGAUCGAAUUCUAGCUCAGAAUUCAGUCUGAUGGUCUUGAGGUUCUGAACAAAAUCUAGGGAAAGGGAAAGGACCUUUUCUCUCUCUCUCUCUGUCACUGCAUUAGCUAGAGAUUAAGGAGACAUUUCCUAAUCAGGAUUUGUGAACAUGGAAAAGGUGAUGGGACUGGCCUCAGAGAAGGGGGUUGUGAUAUUCAGCAAGAGCUCAUGUUGCAUGUGUUAUGCAGUCAAAAUACUGUUUCAAGGAAUUGGGGUGGAACCUCUGGUUUAUGAGAUUGACCAAGACCCUGAAGGCAGGGAAAUGGAAAGAGCCCUCAUGAGGAUGGGGUGUACUGCUCCUGUACCAGCUGUGUUCAUUGGUGGAAAGCUGAUGGGAUCUACCAAUGAAAUCAUGUCCCUCCAUCUAAGUGGCACACUCAACCAAAUGCUCAAGCCAUACCAGGCUUUAUCUUAAAUUCACUACUUAUACGCCACCAAGUAUAAUAAAAAUUGGCUUGAUUUAGUAGUCUAGCUAGUAUGCUCUGUAUUAAUUAGUAUAUCUAGCUGUUUGUGCUAAGUAUUGAUCGUUUUUCAUUUACUAGUAUGUAAUGUUUUCUCCUUUUGUUAAUGAAAUUAGCUUUAUGUA